rnacentral:tRNA from 1 species
UGGUGGGGUUCCCGAGCGGCCAAAGGGAGCAGACUGUAAAUCUGCCGUCAUCGACUUCGAAGGUUCGAAUCCUUCCCCCACAACCA